AACGCACAUUGCGCCUGCCAGCAUUCUGGCAGGCAUGCCUGUCCGAGCGUCAUUUCUCCCCUCACGCGCCCCGCGGCGCUGGUGUUGGGGCGCCCCCGGCCGAGGGCCGGGGGGCCCUGAAAGCGAGUGGCGGGCCUGGUGGUCUUGGCUCCGAGCGCAGUAUCGAACACAUCGUUCUCUCCUCGCUCAGUAGCCUCCGCCGGCGCCUUGCCGUCAUGACAGACGCCUUUUUUUCAAGGUUUGACCUCGGAUCAGGUAGGAUUACCCGCUGAACUUAA
rnacentral:misc_RNA from 1 species